rnacentral:tRNA from 1 species
GCAGUGGUAGCUCACUGAUGGGAUUCUCACCUUCCACGUGGGAGACCUGGGUUCGAUUCUCGACUACUGCA